GGUGAAAAGCACCCCGGAAGGGGAGUGAAAUAGAACCUGAAACCGUGUGCUUACAAGUAGUCAGAGCCCGUUAAUGGGUGAUGGCGUGCCUUUUGUAGAAUGAACCGGCGAGUUACGAUUUGAUGCAAGGUUAAGCAGUAAAUGUGGAGCCGUAGCGAAAGCGAGUCUGAAUAGGGCGUUUAGUAUUUGGUCGUAGACCCGAAACCAGGUGAUCUACCCUUGGUCAGGUUGAAGUUCAGGUAACACUGAAUGGAGGACCGAACCGACUUACGUUGAAAAGUGAGCGGAUGAACUGAGGGUAGCGGAGAAAUUCCAAUCGAACCUGGAGAUAGCUGGUUCUCUCCGAAAUAGCUUUAGGGCUAGCCUCAAGUGAUGAUUAUUGGAGGUAGAGCACUGUUUGGACGAGGGGCCCCUCUCGGGUUACCGAAUUCAGACAAACUCCGAAUGCCAAUUAAUUUAACUUGGGAGUCAGAACAUGGGUGAUAAGGUCCGUGUUCGAAAGGGAAACAGCCCAGACCACCAGCUAAGGUCCCAAAAUAUAUGUUAAGUGGAAAAGGAUGUGGCGUUGCCCAGACAACUAGGAUGUUGGCUUAGAAGCAGCCAUCAUUUAAAGAGUGCGUAAUAGCUCACUAGUCGAGUGACACUGCGCCGAAAAUGUACCGGGGCUAAACAUAUUACCGAAGCUGUGGAUUGUCCUUUGGACAAUGGUAGGAGAGCGUUCUAAGGGCGUUGAAGCAUGAUCGUAAGGACAUGUGGAGCGCUUAGAAGUGAGAAUGCCGGUGUGAGUAGCGAAAGACGGGUGAGAAUCCCGUCCACCGAUUGACUAAGGUUUCCAGAGGAAGGCUCGUCCGCUCUGGGUUAGUCGGGUCCUAAGCUGAGGCCGACAGGCGUAGGCGAUGGAUAACAGGUUGAUAUUCCUGUACCACCUAUAAUCGUUUUAAUCGAUGGGGGGACGCAGUAGGAUAGGCGAAGCGUGCGAUUGGAUUGCACGUCUAAGCAGUAAGGCUGAGUAUUAGGCAAAUCCGGUACUCAUUAAGGCUGAGCUGUGAUGGGGAGAAGACAUUGUGUCUUCGAGUCGUUGAUUUCACACUGCCGAGAAAAGCCUCUAGAUAGAAAAUAGGUGCCCGUACCGCAAACCGACACAGGUAGUCAAGAUGAGAAUUCUAAGGUGAGCGAGCGAACUCUCGUUAAGGAACUCGGCAAAAUGACCCCGUAACUUCGGGAGAAGGGGUGCUCUUUAGGGUUAACGCCCAGAAGAGCCGCAGUGAAUAGGCCCAAGCGACUGUUUAUCAAAAACACAGGUCUCUGCUAAACCGUAAGGUGAUGUAUAGGGGCUGACGCCUGCCCGGUGCUGGAAGGUUAAGAGGAGUGGUUAGCUUCUGCGAAGCUACGAAUCGAAGCCCCAGUAAACGGCGGCCGUAACUAUAACGGUCCUAAGGUAGCGAAAUUCCUUGUCGGGUAAGUUCCGACCCGCACGAAAGGCGUAACGAUUUGGGCACUGUCUCAACGAGAGACUCG
rnacentral:rRNA from 1 species